AGAGUUUGAUCCUGGCUCAGAACGAACGCUGGCGGCGUGGAUAAGACAUGCAAGUCGAACGCUGAUUAGAGGGUAGCAAUAUUCUCUAGUCGGAGUGGCGCAAGGGUGCGUAACACGUGGGUAAUCUGCCAUGAAGACUGGGAUAACUGGCUUAACUCGCUGAAAGGCGAGCUAAUACCGGGUAAGACUGUCAGUUGGCAUCAAUUGGCAUUGGAAGCUGGGGACCCGUAAGGGCCCUGGGCCUUUCAUGUUGACCCCGCGGGCCUAUCAGCUAUUUGGUGAGGUAAGGGCUCACCAAGGCUAAAACGGGUAGCUGGGUCUGAAAAGACCAACCACCCACCCCGGGAACUGAAACCCGGUCCAAAACACCCAAGGGUGGCAGCCGUAGAAAAUUCUCCCCACAUUGGGGGCAAGCCCUAAAGGAACCAACCCCCGGGGGGGGGGAUGGAAGGUUUUCAACCCGAAACCCCCUGGCCUUUGCAAACAAACCUUUAUCCAAAAACCCUGCCUGACCUUGUUUGGAGCGAAAAAAGAAGGAACGGCUUAACUCUGGGCCAGCGCCGGGGUAAAAAAGAAGUCCCCAGCGUUUUUCGGUUUCCCGGGACUAAAGGGUGCGUAGUGGCCCCGGUAAUUUUCGUGUGAAAAUCCGAGUUACCCCCAAGGGCGUGAAAACUUUCUGGUGGGGCCCAGAGAAAAAUGAAUUUUCUCUGGGCAAGAGAGGGUUUAUUCUAGAGAGACCCCGUGGAAGCGAGUUUUUGUCACACCUCUGACCCGAGCCCCGAGGUUUAGGCGAGCAAACCAGGUUUUGCUUCCUGUGUUAGUCCUAAAGAUAAACGGGGCACUUUUGCUGUAGGAAGAAUUCGAUUCUUUCCGCGGAGGUGCUUGCACCUAUAAUUGUCCCGGAUUGAGGAGCACGUUAGCCCGAAUAAAUCGUCAAAGAAUUUGACGGGGCCCCUCCACAAGCGGUGGAGUAUGUGGUUUAUUUCGAAGCCAACGGGAAGAUCCUUUACCUGCCCUUGACAUGCACGUGGUAGAACCCUAAAAGGGUAACGACCCCCGCAAGGGGGAGCGUGCACAGUUGUUGCAUGGCUGUUCUUCAGCUCGUGUCGUGGAGAUGUGGGGUUAAGUCCCGCAACGACGCCCCAACCCUUGUUUCCCUGUUGCCACCCCGCCGAGAGUUGGGACCACUCUGGACAGACCUCCCUCGCUUAAACGAGGAGGAAGGUGGGGAUGACGUCAAGUCAGGAUGGCCCUUACGGCCAGGGCUGCACACGUACUACAAUGCCUGGUACAAAGGGAAGCAAGACCGACAGGUGGAGCAAAUCCCAAAAAACCAGGCUCAGUUCAGAUUGUCGGCUGCAACUCGCCGACAUGAAGCUGGAAUCGCUAGUAAUGGCGCAUCAGCUACGGCGCCGUGAAUACGUUCCCAGGCCUUGUACACACCGCCCGUCACAUCAUGAAAGCCGGUUGUACCCGAAGUCGUCGCGUUAACCCGCAAGGGAGACAGACGCCGAAGGUAUGGCUGGUGAUUGGGAUGAAGUCGUAACAAGGUAACC
rnacentral:rRNA from 1 species